rnacentral:lncRNA from 1 species
CCUGUACAUUGGGAAAGGUGCCGAGACAUGAACUUUGGUCUUCUCUGCAAUCCAUCUGGAGCAUUCAGUGACAACAUCGACUUUGAAGUUGCACUGACCUGGCCAGCCCUGCCACUUACCAGGUUGGGCUGUGGCUUGCCUUUUCACUUCUUGUGUCCUGUUUAAGAAAUAUCUACUAUCCCAAGAUUGCAAACUCCUAGAGAAGGGCUCAACAGUGAGUGCUGAGGCUGCACAGAGGAGGAAGGCAGCACAAUGAUGGAAGGCUUCCUAAAGAGGCUCUUGAGUUUCUGCUUUCAAGUGACCCUCAGAAAUUCCCCCAUUCACUGCAGAGGUUCUGUUUCUCCUUGCUUUGUUCUGACUUUACGGCAGAACUAAGCUGAUGAGUUAGUUACUAUGGGUUAUCACUUGGAUUUGAAGAACCAUCAUUUCUAGGCAUUGCUGCUCAGAGUGGGUCUGCCCUCAGGGGAAGCUGUCUAACCAGAGCCUAACCCACUAGGGUUUUAUCAGAACCUAACUGACCUGAGGAAAAGAAAUAUUCAACUCCAGCAAGCUCCAGCCUUCCAAAUGGAGGAGAAGAAAACCCAACUCCAGCCCACUUCAGCUAUCUUGUCCCACAUAAAGGGGAAGUGGAAGAAACCUGAGAAGCAGGCAUGAAGUUCACAGUCCAGAGGUACAGACACAUCAGAGUUCAGUAUCUGAUGAAUUAGAUGCAAAAACCUCAACAAAGUAUUAGCAAAUUGAAUUCAACAAUGUAUGAAAAUUAUUACAUGCCAUGACUAAUUGGAAUUUAUCUCAGGUAUACAAGCCAUGCUGAACAUCUGAAAAUCAAUUCAUGUGAUCCAUCACAUUAGCAGACUCAAGAAAAAAAACCACAUUAUCAUAUCAGUAGAUGUAGAAAAAAAAAUUUAACAAAAUCCAGCACCCAUUCACAAUGAAAAUGCCCAGUAAAUUAGAAAUAGAAGGUAACUUCCUCAAAUUGAUAAGGAAUAUCUCUAAAAACCUACAACUAAAAUCAUACUUAAUGGUAGAAAACUAGAAGCCUUCCCAGUAAGAGUAAGAACAAGGCAAAGAUGUAUGCUCUCACCAAUGCUUUUCAACAUCAUAUAUUGGAAGUCCUAGCUAGUGCAAUAAGCAAAAAAAAAAAAAAAAAAAAAAAA